CUGAGAUCAAGACCUGAGCUGAGACUGACAGUUGGAUGGCUAACUGACUGAGCCACCCAGACACCCCUAAAAAUUCUUAAUGGCAUUAUACCACAACACCCUGGGGUGGCAGUUUGAGAACAGUGACAACAGAAUAUAGUGCCAGCUGAGCCUCUGACCAGACUCGGCUGAAUUCCCAGAAAGUAACCAGCACCAACUGCCAGCUGUGUGAGUGAGGCACUCUGGAGUUCCCACCAUCCCAAGUGUAACUAGACAACACUCCAACUAGCUAACACUAUUUGGAGACACCCACAGAGACCUGAAAACUAAUAUGUUGUUAUUGUUUAAAGCUACUAACCUUUGCAGUGCUUGCUAGGUAGCAAUAGAUAACUGAAACAUUUAUAUUGCCAAACUGCCCUUCAAACGUGUUAUGGAUUGAAUUGUGUCCCUCAAAGUUCCUAUGUUAAUGUCUUAACCCCUCAGGUCCUCAAAUGUGAUCUUACUUGACGAUAGCAUCUUUAUAGAAGUCAUCAAAUUAAAAUGAGGUUAUAAGGUUGGGCCCAUAAUCCAACAAGUGGUGUCUCUAUAAGAAGGGGACAUAGAUACGCAUGGAUGUGAAGAGACACAGGGAGGACUAUCCACAAACCAAGGAAGGAGGCCUGGAAUAGAUCCUUUCCUCACAGCCCUCACAAAGAAUCGAUACUGCCCACACUUUGAAUUUGGAUUUCAAGCCUCUGGAAGUUUCCAAUGCAGACCUUCUCUACCUAAAUGACGACUGCUUAUCUUCACAGGACAUCAACAGGACAAAAGACAUGAAUCGACACUCCGAAUAAAAGAGUUUUGUAUUUCAUCAAUGAUAUUGGCAUCCUUCCUGUUACAAAAGCCAAAAACUUGCUUUGGAUUUGUGUGUGCAUGUGUGACUUAUACACAAAUAACAUUUAAUUGGCAAAUUAAACAUGCCUGGCAUAUUUGAUUAAAUUCACUGCAAUACUCA